GCGCUAUCAGCAACCAUGUUAGCCACCCCCCUUUCCCUUUUAAUUUUCCCACCCCCGUCCAUGCAUGUACGGUUUUGGGGGGACUCCCCCCCCCCAAGGGGGAAGGGAAAGGGGGGGGAUGACGUCAAAAUCAGCCCGGGCCCUUACGCCCGGGGGCUGAAGCACGGUGUUCCAAUGGGUGGUACAAAAGAGUCGGUGCAAUGCAAUAUUGUAGUCGUUCAUGAAAGCCAUCCUCAGUUCGGAUUGGGGUCUGCAACCCGACCCCAUGAAGCUGGAUUCGCUAGUAAUCGCGCAUCAGCCAUGGCGCGGUGAAUACGUUCCCGGGCCUUGUACACACCGCCCGUCAAGCCAUGAAAGCCGGGGGCGCCUGAAGUCCGUGACCGCGAGGGUCGGCCUAGGGUGAAACCGGUGAUUGGGGCU
rnacentral:rRNA from 1 species